UGAUCAUGAUAAAGUUUCUCAGACCAUUGGAUCCAACUUAAAGUCUAUGUGGUCGGGUCCAUGGAAAGGAUUGAAAGAUGUUCCUUCCCAUCACCGCGAAUGCUUGUUUUAGCGUUUUCAGGUGUAUACUUACUACCCAAUUGUAUACGAUAAUGCUUAUGACUUAAUAAAUAAAUUAAUAUAUUAUUAAUAAAUGUUUUUAUGGAGCAACACUACCGAUGGGAAGAUAAUUCGAAAUCCUCAAUUCACUCAUGCUGGGAAACGUGCAUUAAGGGGAAGUUUCCUGAUUUGUUGAAGAGGGCUCGUGAUAAAGCCAAGGCCCUUGCGAUCCAAGAGGGUGCGGAAGUUGAGAAUGAUUUGACUCCCAUUCUUCCAUUUAAGCCACUGUGGAUGAGUCAAAAGUCUUGGGAAACGCUAGUGCAUACUUGGAAUUCUGUUUCAUGGAAAAGCAAAGCUUCUCAAAACAACGAUAACAGAGGAAAAGCAACGGGUGGCAGGCACAACCUUGGCUCGAAGAGCUUUCUCACGGUUAGAAAAAAACAUGGAGAAGACCUUGGAGUGGCGCAUCAAGUUCGAUCAAUUCUGGUUACAAACACACGCAAAGAAAGGGUCGAGACCCCUAGCUGGGUUGUUGGGGUCUAGCAGCUCUAUUGAGCACGGUUCGGGAGAAGGCGGUGACAUGGAAGAGAACAUUCAUGAGCAUAACGUGACUUGGGUUGACACGAGGGCAAGUGAAGCUUAUUUUUAGGCUAGAUAUUUAAACAUUUACAAGCAUGAAGAUGGAAAUAUAUUCUGGUAAACUUAUAGGCUGUUUAGAGCUGACUCUGGUCGAAAUAUUGCCAGAACUGCGCAUGGACGGCUAUGAUGUGCUUUUUGGGCGACUCGCCUCACCUUAGUGCAAAAUGAAACUUACAAUAAACAUGUUGUCGACAAAUAUGGAGACGAUACCAGCUUGCAUCCGAAAUUGACAUGGAAUUGUUGUCGCAAACUGUUGGAGGCAAAAAAAAGGUAAAAUGUAUGGGAUCGGCACUAUCGCUAUCUUGCGUGUCGUGAUGAUGGGUGCAUAAGAGAGAAGUGACAACGAUGAGGUGGAACGGUUGAA